rnacentral:rRNA from 1 species
GUCAUGCGACGCAGCCUGAUGCAGCGACGCCGCGUGAAUGAGAGGCCUUCGGAUUGUAAACUUCUGUUGUUGAGGAGAUAAUGACGGUACUUAACUAUGAAGUGACGGCUAACUACGUGCCAGCAGCCGCGGUCAUACUCCGUGCCAGCAGCCGCGGUAAUA